GUACUGCUGAAGAGUCCCAAACUAGAACGAAACAACUUUCCAGUAC
rfam:Trichobilharzia regenti genome assembly, scaffold: TRE_scaffold0017908